rnacentral:rRNA from 1 species
AUGAGCUUCUAUAGCCUCCAUGAAACGCUGCACAAGGAAAUUGCCACGUACCAAUCCAGGUUCUACUGGGCUGGCGAGGAUGACAACCAGAAGUACCAUAUGGUCAGUUGGCCGGACAUAUGUAAACCCAAGGACGGGGGUCUAGGGAUUUUGUCCUCCCGGCGCAUGAACAUCGCCCUCCUGACCCGGUGGCUAUGGCGUAUUGCUAAUGGUGACGGAGGUCUUUGGCUCACCAUCAUCCGGAACAAGUACCUCUGUGGACAGCCUCUGGCUUUCUGUCAGCGUUCGGGCGGCUCCCAGUUUUGGCAGGCCGUCAUUCAGCUGCUCCCUGUGCUCCGCAUUGGCACUUCCAUCUCGGUUGGUACUGGGUCCAUGACCCUGUUCUGGUUUGAUCGGUGGAUUGGCGACACCCCUCUGGCCGCCCUCUUUCCCGCGCUCUUCGCCAUUGUUGUUGACUCUCGGGUCUCUGUUGAGACGGCCCUUAUUGACUUAGGGCGCCUCGCGUUUCGCCGCCCUUUUGGCCCGCCCGAAGUGGCCGCUUGGGAUGCCCUCCUCGAGGACAUCGCCCUUCUGCCGAUGAGCGUCAACGACACCCCGGACGCCAUCUCUUGGCGUCUAGAAUCUUCCGGACGCUUCUCUACUAAAUCCCUGUAA